rnacentral:rRNA from 1 species
UACGUAGGGUGCAAGCGUUAAUCGGAAUUACUGGGCGUAAAGCGUGCGCAGGCGGUUUUGUAAGUUUGUCGUGAAAGCCCCGGGCUCAACCUGGGAAUUGCGAUGAAGACUGCAAGGCUUGAAUCUGGCAGAGGGGGGUAGAAUUCCACGUGUAGCAGUGAAAAUGCGUAGAGAUGUGGAGGAACACCGAUGGCGAAGGCAGCCCCCCUGGGUCAAGAUUGACGCUCAUGCACGAAAGCGUGGGGAGCAAACAGG